rfam:Hordeum vulgare subsp. vulgare, WGS project CAJW01000000 data, contig: morex_contig_1567940
UUACUACUCCCUUCGUCCGGAAAUACUUGUCAUGGGAAUGAAUGUAUCUAGAUAUAUUUAGUUCUAGAUGCAUUCAUUUGUAUCCAUUUUGUGACAAGAAAUUCCGAACGGAGGGAGUAUUUA